rnacentral:snRNA from 1 species
AACAUGGGCUUCUGUCAUAAUUGGCACACAUAGGGCAACUUGAUCGUUCAUGUGAAAUCGAUAUCAAGAGAUUCCGAAAGUAUAAUUUUUUGGUAUCUGGGCAGCUGGUGAUCAUUGGUCCUGGCACCUUG